CCUACGGGUGGCAGCAGUGGGGAAUAUUGCACAAUGGGGGAAACCCUGAUGCAGCGACGCCGCGUGAAGGAAGAAGUAUUUCGGUAUGUAAACUUCUAUCAGCAGGGAAGAAAAUGACGGUACCUGACUAAGAAGCCCCGGCUAACUACGUGCCAGCAGCCGCGGUAAUACGUAGGGGGCAAGCGUUAUCCGGAUUUACUGGGUGUAAAGGGAGCGUAGGCGGUUUAGCAAGUCAGAAGUGAAAGGCGGGGGCUCAACCCCCGGACUGCUCUGGAAACUGUACGGCUGGAGUGCAGGAGAGGUAAGUGGAAUUCCUAGUGUAGCGGUGAAAUGCGUAGAUAUUAGGAGGAACACCAGUGGCGAAGGCGGCUUACUGGACUGUAACUGACGUUGAGGCUCGAAAGCGUGGGGAGCAAACAGGAUUAGAUACCCGGGUAGU
rnacentral:rRNA from 1 species